UACGUAGGGUGCGAGCGUUAAUCGGAAUUACUGGGCGUAAAGCGUGCGCAGGCGGUCUGUUAAGACCGAUGUGAAAUCCCCGGGCUUAACCUGGGAACUGCAUUGGUGACUGGCAGGCUUUGAGUGUGGCAGAGGGAGGUAGAAUUCCACGUGUAGCAGUGAAAUGCGUAGAUAUCGGGAGGAACACCAGUGGCGAAGGCGGUUGCCUGGAGCUUUGCUGACGCUGAUGCGCGAAAGCGUGGGGAGCGAGUCCGG
rnacentral:rRNA from 1 species